GUAGUCCACGCUGUAAACGAUGAUUACUAGGUGUGGGGGGACUGACCCCUUCCGUGCCGCAGUUAACACAAUAAGUAAUCCACCUGGGGAGUACGGCCGCAAGGUUGAAACUCAAAGGAAUUGACGGGGGCCCGCACAAGCAGUGGAUUAUGUGGUUUAAUUCGAAGCAACGCGAAGAACCUUACCAGCUCUUGACAUCUCCUGCAUAACCUAGAGAUAGGUGAAGCCCUUCGGGGCAGGAAGACAGGUGGUGCAUGGUUGUCGUCAGCUCGUGUCGUGAGAUGUUGGGUUAAGUCCCGCAACGAGCGCAACCCUUACUAUUAGUUGCUACGCAAGAGCACUCUAAUGGGACUGCCGUUGACAAAACGGA
rnacentral:rRNA from 1 species